rnacentral:rRNA from 1 species
GACGAACGCUGGCGGCGUGCUUAACACAUGCAAGUCGAACGAUGAACCCGGAGCUUGCUCUGGGGGAUUAGUGGCGAACGGGUGAGUAACACGUGAGUAACCUGCCCUGGACUCUGGGAUAAGCGUUGGAAACGACGUCUAAUACCGGAUAGGACCUUGGAUCGCAUGAUCUGGGGUGGAAAGUUUUUUCGGUCUGGGAUGGACUCGCGGCCUAUCAGCUUGUUGGUGAGGUAAUGGCUCACCAAGGCGUCGACGGGUAGCCGGCCUGAGAGGGUGACCGGCCACACUGGGACUGAGACACGGCCCAGACUCCUACGGGAGGCAGCAGUGGGGAAUAUUGCACAAUGGGCGAAAGCCUGAUGCAGCAACGCCGCGUGCGGGAUGACGGCCUUCGGGUUGUAAACCGCUUUUAGUAGGGAAGAAGGGCUUCGGCUUGACGGUACUUGCAGAAAAAGGACCGGCUAACUACGUG